AAUAUUGGACAAUGGGCGCAAGCCUGAUCCAGCCAUGCCGCGUGAGUGAUGAAGGCCCUAGGGUUGUAAAGCUCUUUCAUCGGUGAAGAUAAUGACGGUAGCCGGGGAAGAAGCCCCUGCUAACCUCGUGCCAGAAGCCGAGGUAAUACGAAGGGGGCUAGCCUUGUUUGGAAUUAUUGGGCGUAAAGCGCACGUAGGCGGAUCGGUCAGUUAGGGGUGAAAUCCCGGGGCUCAACCCUGGAACUGCCUUUAAUACUGCUGGUCUGGAGUUCGAGAGAGGUGAGUGGAAUUCCGAGUGUAGAGGUGAAAUUCGUAGAUAUUCGGAGGAACACCAGUGGCGAAGGCGGCUCACUGGCUCGGUACUGACGCUGAGGUGCGAAAGCGUGGGGAGCAAACAG
rnacentral:rRNA from 1 species